rnacentral:tRNA from 1 species
UCCCUGAUGGUCUAGUGGCUAGGAUUCGGCGCUCUCACCGCCGAAGCCUGCGUUUGAUUCCCGUUCAGGGAA